AAGUGCCUACGGGGGGCAGCAGUAGGGAAUCUUCCACAAUGGGCGAAAGCCUGAUGGAGCAACGCCGUGUGGGUGAAGAAGGUCUUCGGAUCGUAAAACCCUGUUGUUAGAGAAGAAAGUGCGUGAGAGUAACUGUUCACGUUUCGACGGUAUCUAACCAGAAAGCCACGGCUAACUACGUGCCAGCAGCCGCGGUAAUACGUAGGUGGCAAGCGUUAUCCGGAUUUAUUGGGCGUAAAGGGAACGCAGGCGGUCUUUUAAGUUUAAUUUGAAAGCCUUCGGCUUAAC
rnacentral:rRNA from 1 species